rnacentral:rRNA from 1 species
UGCAGUCGAACGUGAAGCAGGAGCUUGCUCCUGUGGAAAGUGGCAGACGGGUGAGUAACGCGUGGGAAUUUACCCAGUGGUUCGGAAUAACGCAGGGAAACUUGUGCUAAUACCGGAUACGCCCUUCGGGGGAAAGAUUUAUCGCCAUUGGAUGAGCCCGCGUCGGAUUAGCUUGUUGGUGAGGUAAAAGCUCACCAAGGCGACGAUCCGUAGCUGGUCUGAGAGGAUGAUCAGCCACACUGGGACUGAGACACGGCCCAGACUCCUACGGGAGGCAGCAGUGGGGAAUAUUGCGCAAUGGAGGAAACUCUGACGCAGCCAUGCCGCGUGAGUGAAGAAGGCCUUAGGGUUGUAAAACUCUUUCACCGGUGAAGAUAAUGACGGUAGCCGGAGAAGAAGCCCCGGCCAACUCCGUGCCAGCAGCCGCGGUAAUACGGAGGGGGCUAGCGUUGUUCGGAUUUACUGGGCGUAAAGCGCGCGUAGGCGGGCUGGUUAGUUGGGGGUGAAAUCCCGAGGCUCAACCUCGGAACUGCCCUCAAUACUGCCAGUCUUGAGUUCGAGAGAGGUGAGUGGAAUUCCUAGUGUAGAGGUGAAAUUCGUAGAUAUUAGGAAGAACAC